GGAAUUGUGGGAGUCUAAAACUGAAAAUAACUGAACUUCACUUCCUUCUUGGAUUUCAUUUGAGCUGGGAGUGGGUUUUGUCUCUGCCUACAAUUUCAAGCUGGAAAAGGAGUUUUGCUCUAAGAGACACUUCCUGGAAAGUCAGGAAGAAAAUCUUUGGCAUCUAGGUAGCGUAUUUACUUGGAGAAAACUAAUUUCUCUUAGUCCAGUCUUCAUCUCCCAGUGGUCAAUCUACGAAAAUUCCUAUUGGCUAAGGUAAUCCAAAGGUUUUCAUCUAUAACUUUAGUUACUUAGUUCAGCAGCCAAACCCAGGAGUUUUCCCCUUUCUUUCUUUAUUAAUUACUGGUGGGAAGAUUAGGGUCAGUCAGAUAGCCUGGGAAAGGGUGUUAGAUAGCAUGAGGAGAUGUAGGUAGGAGCCAAAGAAUAACAGAAGGCUCUCCUUUCACAUGGGAACUUAAGAGCUGGGUGGAGAUAGCCAGAAGAGUGUCAGGGUCAUAUCUACCAGUUCCCCUUAUCCCUUCUGUUAAAAUAAACUUUGUUUUAUAAUCAGAGGGUCUGGUGUUAAAUUGGCCCCAAAGAGUUCAUAGGUGGGUUAUAAUAUCUUAUAUCCCUCUAGGAUACUUCCCCAUUACAAUAUCAUUUUACAAGAAAUUAUCCCAGAAAACUGCCCUGAUAUUCUUGAGCAAGAGGGCAAAAUAGACAUUGAAAGAAUCCAUAAAUCAAUCUCUACAUUAAAUUCUCAAAAGAGAACUCCCAGGAAUGUAAUUGUCAAAUUCAUAAGCUUCCAAGCUAAGGAGAAAAAUAUUGCAAGAAGUCAGAAAAAGAAAAUUCAGAUAUCAAGGAUAACCAAUCAGGGUUACACAGGAUCUGGCAGCCUCUACACUAAAGGACCACAAGGCUUGGAAUAUGAUAUUCAGAAAGAGAACAAGGGAAGUUAAAAAUGAAGGUCUGAGAAAAGCUGAAGACAGAGAAUGAGGAUGAGCAAAAACUUUCUUGGGAGAGCUGUUCUAACUCUGUAUUGUGAAAAGUCAUCAUGAAGAGCAUUCCAAGAGAAUUCCAGAAAGAGACUAGAGUUUUGACUUGAGAGAAACUGUAGAGAAAACAAAUAUGAUGAGCAAAAACUUUCUUUUUUUCUGAUGGAACUGAUUUAAUCUAUCUUGUAUAGAUGAUGAAGAGAAUUCUUGAGAAGAAAAUAAACUGAAGUAAAUUGAACUAGGUAAAACUUUG
rnacentral:lncRNA from 1 species